rnacentral:rRNA from 1 species
UACGGAGGGUGCGAGCGUUGUCCGGAAUUACUGGGCGUAAAGCGCACGUAGGCGGAUUGUUAAGUCAGGGGUGAAAUCCCGAGGCUCAACCUCGGAACUGCCUUUGAUACUGGCAAUCUCGAGUCCGGAAGAGGUGAGUGGAAUUCCUAGUGUAGAGGUGAAAUUCGUAGAUAUUAGGAAGAACACCAGUGGCGAAGGCGGCUCACUGGUCCGGUACUGACGCUGAGGUGCGAAAGCGUGGGGAGCAAACAGG